CAUGGAGAGUGUUUCCCUCUUUGAAAGAUGUGGGUUAAGGGCCAUUUGUCAGCUUUAGUUUUCUUGGCCCUUGGACUCACAUCCAUUUUCAGCUACAACAGCUUCCAGUAUCAAUCACACAGGAGCCAAACUCUCCCUGAGCCAGAGCCCUCUCUCUCCCUACUGCUCUGAGUUUCUCAUUUUCCUUCGUGGAUGUGCAGCAGCUGCUCAGAGCUCUCAGAGGUCUGGGGUGGGGUGGACAAAAGGAACCAGAGGGACAGUGAAGAUGGGCAGGCUCUGACGGCUGGACUACCUGGGGCCAGUAGCAUGGGUUGCAGUUGAGGUCCACAAGUACAGGAUGGGGACAAAGGGAUGAUGGGGGAAAACCAGUGUGAUGAGGCAGCAUAAUAUACAAAAUUAAGUGUGCUGGGGGAGACCAAUUCUAAUGUAGCUGAGUUUGUGUCGGUUCUGUUUGUGGGGCUCCCCAGUUCAUGUGGCCUUGCUUCAUCACCUCCAGUUCUAUGGUCUCAACCAGUUGCUUCAUGGGAAGCCUGGAUGCUACUGUGGUCACAUGGGCAUGAAGACGGGAACAAGAACCAGACUUCAGCAUGGUCUUCAUCACAACUAUUGCCAGGGGGAUUCAAAGUACUUCUGAAAGUGAGCUAAGCUAAUAAAGGGCCUGAGGUGAACACGCCUAGGGGAACCAAUGGGAGAAGAUGGAGAAUACAGGUCAAAGUCAGAGGAGGAAUGGAUGAGGGUGAAGAUCAAGACAUCUGGAUUAGCAUCAAUAGUGGUGGACAUUUAAGGUCACAGCACCCCAAAGAGAAUGCAAAGGAAGACAUUAACUAAAUGCUGUUGAGUCAUGUAAGUGGCUAGGAAGUGAAGGCUGGUUUUGUGGCACAAGGAGAGCCUCUGAUGGUCAGCUUGACUCAUGUAACCUAGGAGGACAGUGAGACUCUUCUAACAAGAUUUCAUCUGGGGUGAGAUCAUUUCUGGGAUCUAAUGGAGGAGUGGGGAUGUUAUCCUCCUUCUGGGGAGGUUAUCCCAGGCAGAAGAGUGACUGUUCCAUAGUCAGAAGUGUGAUAGUUACCAUCCUUGUCAAGUGGACUGGAUUUAGAAUCGCUUAGGAGACACACUUCUGCCAGUUUCUGUGAGGGCAUUUUCAGAGAGGUGCAACUAAGCAGCCUGGACAUAGGCAGUCCUAUCUCAUGGGUUGAGCUUCCAGAAGCAAUAGAAAGGGAAAAAGAAGACAUCUGAACACCAGCAUGCAUUGUGCUCUAACAUGUGACUAGCCACCUCAUGGUCCAGCCUUUACACUUUCCUACCAUGAAGGACUGUACCCACUUUUAAAGUAUGACCUCCAAAUGAAUCCUUUCCCACUUAAGCUUUUUGUCAGACAUUUGGUCACAGACUCAUCAGUAACUGAGAAGGUGGCAUCAUUCUUACUCCUGAAAGAUUUCUUCCAGGCUUGACUUUCAUUUGCUAAAUGUCACAACCCAAAAUAAAUAACACCUCAGUGGUGGUUUGGAAGAAAAUAGCCCCCAAAGGGAGUGGCACUAUUAGGAGGUGUGGCUUUGUUGGAGAGGAUAUGGCAUAGCUGGAGGAAGUAUAUCACUGUGGGGGCAGGCCCUGAGGUCUUUUUUCUCAAGCUUCACUCAGUGUGGCAAUCAGUCCACUUCCUGUUGCCUGCAAUAUGUAGCAUCCUCAACUCCAGCACCACAUUUGCCUCUAUGUUGUCAUGAUCCCCAUCAUGAGGGUAAUGGACUGAACCUCUGAAACUGUAAGUGAGCCACCCCAAUUAAAUAUUUUGUUUAUGAGUUUCGGUGGUCAUGGUGUCUCCUCACAGCAAUAGAAACCCUAAGUAACAUCAUAUUCCACAUCUUAACCCUUCAUCAGCACAUACAAUGGGCAUAUGGAACUGAGGCACACUUCACAAAACAGUAUUUAUCCUCAGCCCUGGGCAUCUAAAUAUGUUUAUUUGUGGCAGAAACAUACCUUCAGGACCAUACACCAGUGUUCCCAGCAAUCGUUACCAUAGACAGUGCUUUUUUCACUGCUGUCAUGGAAUCCCUGACAGACGAUUAAGGGAGGGGAAGUUUGGGGGGUUUUGGCUCAGGUUUCAGAUUUCAGUCCAUCAUGGUAA
rnacentral:lncRNA from 1 species